rnacentral:lncRNA from 1 species
UUCAUUAAAGCCUAAACCAACUGGUUUAGCAUAUUGGUCUCUUAAAAGUCUCUGAGACUAUUAUUAUCAGCCAAAUAAUUAGCUUCGCGAGGUACAAAAAGGAAAACAAUUUCCUCAAAACAAAGAGAUAGAUUCAGGAUAUCAUGAAGGAUUCCAUGGAUUUCCGAUAGGGUCUUCUUCUGAUUUAUUGCUUGAGUCAGGGCAGCAGCAUCCAAUACCAGAUAUAGUUUUUGCAGACCCAGAUCGAUCGCAUCCUGAAGCGCUGAUCUGAUGGCGACAGCUUCUGCCACUAAAGCUGAUCCAAUUGGAGAUUCUGCCACCGCGGUAUUACUCUCCCUUUUUAAAUUGAUAUCCAUUAUUCUAAAGUCUCUAAAAGUCACAAUUCUCUAUCAUAUCGAGGAACUUCCAAGUGAGGAUAAUGGGAAUGGUAUAUCAACAAAUUUUUUAUAAUGAAGCUCAAACUAAUCUCAUAAACUUUUAUCCAUAUUUUUAUCAUAUAUUAGAAUCAUUCAAAAUCUCAAUUCAACUAUCGCCAUUUGUCUCCUUCUUAUACUCGGGUAAAAAAUUAAUUUUAUCAAUUUUUCAUUUGUAAUCUCAUAUUUAAAUCGUUCAGUUCUUGCUAUUUUUACUAUUUUUGUGUCUCUUUUAGUCUAACUUUGAAGACUUUUACUUUAUUUUGAUUAACUAUGUGAUUUUAUAAAAUGUUACUUUACUUUAAAAUUAAAGUUUUAAUUGAUCUAAUCAAGAUUAACAUUUGGAAAAUCCAUAAAAUUCUUCUAAAAAGUCACAAAUUCUAACUUAGCCUUUUUGUUCUUAGGAUGGUUUAGUUUUCAAAACCAACAAAAUAAACCUUAUCUUUUCUUUUGAAUUGCUAUCAAUUAUUCGAAAGUCAAAUUCUCUACAACAUUUUCUCAAUUGUGGUGCUUCAAUAUUUUUUUAAAGUACAAUAAUAAACUAAAGUUAAUGUCCCUAACAAUCACUUCUUUCUAUCUGAUAAAAGAACUACCAGCUGAUUAUAAUUGUGGGAAUGACAUAUCAACUUAAAUUUUUAAAUUAAUUCAAAGUACUCGCAUAAACUUUUAUAUGUAUUAUGAUUAUACAUUAAAACCGUUAAAAAUUUUAACUCAACUAUCGCUAUUCGUCUCCUUCUUAUGCUCGGUUUUUGAACCUAAUAUUAUCGGUUUUUCAUUUGAAAUUUCAUUUCUAAAUCAUCUGAUAUUUGCUAUCUUUACUAUUUUUUCAUAUUCAGUCAGACUUUAUUUUAUUUUAACUUUUCAAAUUUAUAAACUCUUACUUUAUUUUAAAAUAUUUAAAGUUCUAAUUUAUCUAAUCAAUAUACUUUUAAAACACGUAGAAUUCUUCUAAAUUCUUACAAAGUCUAACUUAGUCUUCUUGAUUCUGCUAUGCUUUAGUUUUGAAAAUCAUCAAAAUAAAAUCUUACCUUUUCUUUUGAACCUAUUAUUUUAAAGCCAAAUUUUCUAUAACAUUUUCUUAAUUGUAAAUUGUGGUGCUACAAUAUUUUUUUGAAGUACAUUAAUAACCUAAGUUAAAGUCUUUAAAAAUCACCUCUCUCUCUGAGAUCAAAGUACUUCCAAGUGAGAAUAAUUUUGGAAAUGACACAUCAACAAAAAAUUUUAAAUCAAGAUCAAACUUAUUGCAUAGAUUUUUAUUUGUAAUGUAAUUAUACAUUAGAAUCCUUCAAAAUCUUAACUCAACUAUCGCCAUUCAUCUCCUUCUUAUAGGUUCAAACUUAAUUUUAUCGAUUUUCAUUUGUAAUCUCCUAUCUAAGAUGUUGUUUCUCCUUAUCCUACUAUUUUCUCGUCUCAUUCAGACUAUAUUUGAAAUUCUUAUUUUAUUUUUACUAUGCAACUCUAUAAACUUGUAUUUUAUUUUAAAAUCUUUGAAGUUCUAAUUUAUCCAAUCAAAGUUUAACAUUUUUUAUAGCGCUUAUCUGGGCUAUGCUAUGCAUGAGUGCAAACCAAAAGACGAAGGUAGCUUUCGCAACAGACUGUUCUGAAUUGGUGAAGAUGGUGUCGACACCAGAAGAAUGACCAGUUUUUGACUUACAUUUGGAGGAGUUUGUGAAGAGUAAGGAGGCUUUUAUCUUUUUCUAAUAUCACACAUUUCGCGCGCAAAGAAUAUGAAGACAGACAACUUAGCACGAAGUGCACGAGUCUACCCUCACGGUGUUAUAUAUGUAAACUCGGUACCCCGGUUUGGAUUUCUGAACCGUUCUAAGUAUCUAGGCUGUUGACAAAAAAAAAGUUUUAAAGUUUUAAAACUGUAAAAUUCUUUACAAAUUCACAGAGUCUAACUUAGUUUUUUUUUGUUCAUUAAAUAUCAUGAAAUGUAGAUCUAAGCUUUUAUUUCUCCUACGCUUUCCAUUUUACUCAAGGGACCAAACUUACCAGCUGUUGUCUUUAUCAAAGUAUUAGAAGGCUUUCAAUAAGUUUUCAUCUAAACUUGGUGUAAUCGAUUGUUUCAUACCAUCUACAUCAGUCUGAAAUAUACAUAAAAAUGCUUCUCUUUUAAAUUUCUUCUUUCUUUCUACAACAGGGCUAUGAGAUGGUAUAUAUUCGUAACUGUACGUUUAAGACCUUCAAUUCAAGUGUGUCAAUAACACCUUUAUUCCAAAGUAAAUGCCAAUAACAUCUAUUCUAUUAAAACAGAAGCACAUUUAGUACUUGUAUCCAAACACUCCCAAAGUUUUUUAAUAAUAUUUUAUUUUAAUUUUAUAUUUAAUUUCCGAAAAUUAGUUAUUAAUUUAUAUAUUUUUAGAUUUCCUAAAAUCUAGGUCAUCUUUAAUUUAAAUUUCAAAUUAUUAAAAAUUUAAUUAAAUUUAGUUACAAAAAUUUGCAUUCAAUUUAAUUUAAAUUCAAAAAAUUCAAAAAAAACUAUAAUUAAAUUUUAUUACGAAAAUUUAGAUAAUAAUUUUAAUAUUUUAGAAUUUCUUAAAUACAGGAAAGAUUUAAUUUUAAAUUUUAAAUUUAAAUAAUAUUUUUUAAAAAAUGCAUAGUAAAUAAAUAUUUUAUCGUAUUUUAUCAUAAACAAUCGGUUUAAAAUAUCAAAUAUUUGAGAUUAAUAAAUAUUUAUAUUAUACAAUAAUAUGAUCGAGCUGAUUAGAGUUAUAUAUAUAUAUUUAAGGUCCAUGAGUUAAUUUAUUAAAACAUGUAAGAUAUUAAGAUGAUUUGAGACAAUUAAACUAACAGGUUAGCCUGUUUAUUUAUAUAUAUAUAUAUAUAUUUUUUUUUAAUAGUACAUAUAGUAAAUAAAUAUUUUAUUAUAUUUUUUCAUAAUCAAUUGGUCCAAAUAAUAUUAGUAAAUAUUUAUAGGGUUAUACAAUUAUAAUUAUAGUCUUAUACGGGUUAGUUUUUCAAAACAUGUAAGAUAUUAAAAAUGAUUUAAGACAACUAAACGAAUAGAUUAGCAAAUUCAUAGAUAUAUAAAUUGUUUAUAUGUAAUCUAAAUUCACAUAAUAACAAAGUUUAUAAUUAACAUUAGAUCAAUGUAUACUUAAUUAACGUAUACUCUUAUUCUACUAAUAUACAAAUUUUAUUGUUGAAAAUUAAAAUAUGAUAACAAUUUUUUGAUUUGAAAAAAUAAAUAACAAAAAUAAAUUAUAUCUAAACAAAAAAAAUAAAUACAAAUUAUAUUAGAAAUAAAAAAUAAAACAUUCCCGUGCGGACGCACGGGGUUAAAAUCUAGUAACCAUAUUACAAUAGUAUCACAGACCAAAAAUACGACAAACAAAGUUGAAUAGAAAUUCAAAAAUACCACUUUUACCACUUUUACCCCCAAAAAAAAUAGAAACCGUUAGAUCGCCAAGCGAUAAUUCCAUCAACGUUUUGCUGUGAUACCUCGAUGGAUUCUUUCUGCCAAUGUACCUACAUAUAAAAAUAAAACCAAAACAAAACCUAUUGAGAUCAAAGAUCUUCAUAAAUCAUAAAUUAAAAUUAAUACGAUAAAUUUGAUAUAAAUUAUAAUAAUAUUAUGUAAAUUGAGAGCUAGCAAAAUUUCAAGGACAUUAUGAUUUAUGAAUGAAUUGAAAGCUUGAUUUAUAGGAAAACAUUGAGUUGCAAAAAUAAUUAGGUUAAACCGGAAAAAUUUAAAUAAAUCGUACAUAAGCUUGCUCCACUGACUAUUUAUAGUUUUAAAUAACGUCGUAAAACAUUAUCACAGUUAUUGUUGUAAGAAUCAGAUGAUCAAGUGUUUGAGUUUCACCUUAUUGACACUCGUUUUGGCAUGUUUCUUAUUGUAUCAGUUUGGUUUGCUCCAUGUCGAGAAGUCAGUAGCAACUCUUCUUUAUAUCGUGGAAGCCAGAAGUUGUAACCGAGAUUUUUGACCUUGAAGAGGCAAAAACAUUAUAUUAGUGUAAUAAAAAAGUCCAAUUCUGAGUUUGUUCAAAGAAAAACUAUCCACUUUUGAGAUAUUGUUGAACUUUUUGUUGUAGUACAAUCUCUUUGUUGAACUUUUGUUUACACCGAAAAAAUCAAAAAUAUGAGAACUACUACAAAAA